UCAGACACGGUGUAGUGGUAACACAGCCUCUUUCUGUAUGCCCACAUACAGAAUAACUAUGAGUCAGUUCUAGGUUUGAUCCCCAGUGUCUGAA